rnacentral:tRNA from 1 species
GGCUCUAUGGCGGAAUUGGUAGACGCGUCAGACUUAAAAUCUGAUGGUCCGAAAGGGCCGUCCCGGUUCGAUUCCGGGUGGAGCUA